ensembl:processed_transcript Gm16759 predicted gene, 16759
GUCCGUCCAGUUUUUUGUCCUCCAAAGGCUCUUGGUGAUGAGCGCGGGAAUGACUCUUGCUAAGCAACUUCGGAGCCACUGUCGGGACUCACUCCUCGCUGCCCUGGGCAGGGUUCUCCCGGGUGGACAGUGGCAGGGCACGACCUCAGGGGUGCUGCAAGCAGCCCAUCGGGGAUGCGAAGGGCCGGCCCUGGGGAGUGAGCAGCGUGCUUGUGGGCCAGCGGCCGCCCUGGGAUGGAGGAGUGCCUGGGUCAGACGAGGGCGCCGCCACUCACCCAGGUUGAUGACCUUGAGCGCGGUGAAGAAGCGGUCCUGCGGGGCCAGGUCCUGCCAGGGCGCCUUGGAGCAGUGGUACUUGAUGAAGGGGAAGCAGCCGGUGCGCAGGACGUGGUAGUUGGCGCCCAGCACCGGCCAAUUGAAGUGCGACAGGCCGAACUGGUCGUUGUGGACCGCACUGUAGGGCACGCAGAAGGAAGUCCAGUGCGGCAGCCGCCGCUGCAGCAGGUGCCGCGUCAGCACCUCCGAGGCGCGGGGCUUCGGGCGGGAGGCGGCGCCCGAGGCCCAGGGCCGGCACAGCAGCAGCCGCAGCGUAGCCUCGUGGGCCCUCCGCAGGGCCUCCAUGGCCGGGACACGCCGGGGAGCCGGCCCUGGGCCCCUGGGGCCGGGCCUCUGGGGGCGGGGUCAGGCGAGUGUGCGCAUGCGUGCUCCCCUCACCACCCUAGGCCAGGAGUAGGCCUGCAGAAUGUGUUUGUUCAAAGAGUAUGUCCAUCUUUCCUCAACCCAAAUCCUUUGGAGGUAUUUGAUAUAUUUCCAAUUUGGAGGCACAAAGAAUUGAGAACUUGGGGAUCCACUGAGGUCUGAGGCAUGGUGGUACCAGAAGAAAUAAAGGGGCCAUCAGCAUGAAGCUGGUCCCCCAUCGACAGCACCCUGACUUCUCCAUCAGGUUCUAUCAGCAUGUCUACUGUGAGGUUGGUGACGCUGUCUGCAGGACUAGACAGUGAGGGUUUGUCUAGAGCCUGGCUCAGUUACAGAGAGUCCUAGACUUCUCAAGGGCAUCCCUGGUCCACCAAGGGGCACCGAGGACAGAUGACCAGUAGCACAUGGUACUGUGACUGUCAGAGAGUGAAAGCUUUCUUUGAAUCCAUUCCAAAAGCCUAAGCCUGCUCUGUGGUUUUCAGCAGCACAGACAUUUCCAGAAGAACUCCAGCGGGACCUUUCCGGGUGUGAAAACACUAACCAAUCCUCCUUUCUCUUAUCUUCUGCUUUAUUCCUUCCUUCCACGCAGUUAUUGUGAAAAACUGGCAGUUAAAUUCAAUUGAUUCAAAUUUUUCUGGAUCCAUAUGGCCGCCAACCCUGGAGCUGAAGCGGCGGCGCCUCGCCUCUGUUCUCUAGCAUUUGCCUCUCCUCCCGUCCCCAGAUGGUGGGAGUAACAUUUAAACCUCCUUUUCUCUGCCUUGUACAAUAGACCUUGGCACCAUUUCAACUGUUUACUCCGGUAAUUAACAGCUCUGAUACCACAACAAUUACAACUCCUCCACUCUCCACAAUAAUGCUAUGAAUUAGUGAGAGCUAAUGGCUGGAAGGUAGAGUGUUUCCAGACUGUGAGAUCUGUGCAUUUUUAGAAUAAAAUAAAAGGUACAAACAGCACGCUUGCAGUAGACAAUGAUUACCUAGUAAUUAGUUUACACAAAGCUUCCUAUUUAAUGGCAAAAUGCUGUAAUUAACGUGUGACAGAAAAUCAAAGGGUACUUUGUAAGCAUAUGAAAAAUUAACACUGCAGGCCCAUAGCUUUAUGUACUGAUUAGAAGCAUAUUAAAUCAAUAGGACACACAAGCCAACAGCUUGUAUAGCUGAUUAUUAUAGGUCCUCGGAAGGGGUGCCCAGGCUUUCAUUUAACUGGGGAGGCAAUUUUCCUUCUCCUGUCAUCAUCCUCAGGCACAGAGAAGCACCUCAAACGCAUCCCUGGCAGCACCAUGAAAAUAACCACUCAACUGGAAGAAAACGUUCUAAGUCAUUCUCAGAGCUAAGGAAAAAUAUGUACAUGAUUAAGACUUUCCAGUGAUCUUGGUGACAUGCUGCUAUACUAAUUAGAAAAUAUGCCAACUGGAACCAGAAGCAUCCAGACUCAAUGUUUUGGUCAGAAUAAUCUCUACUAUAUCAAGCCUCUUUAUUCAACAUGAAGAAAGCUCUAAGAAACACAUUGUUUUCUAUCCUCAAAUGGUAAGAGGCCAGGAUGCUAUCUAGUGUUAUUCUUUUAAAGGUAUUAAUUAGGAAAAUCAUAACAGAGAAUUAGAUCAUUAUGCUGAGGUUUUGAUAGCAUCUUGUAUAAUAGUAAUUGAUGUACACUACAGUAGUCUUGAAGGCUACAAAGCCUCCUAAAUAACCUUGUGAAUUGCCAAAGAACUGCUACUUUGUAUUUAUUUGCUCACUAUUGCUUAUAUUUUCUCAUAAUAGAACUUUAAUUAAUAUUCAUAAUAAAAAGCAACAAAGCAACAAUAUCUUAAACGUCCACAUGCUAAGACUAUUGCUGGCCAAGUCACAGGAUACACUUAACCCUCAUCACAGCUCCAUGUGACACCUGUACUGUUAUCUAUUUCCAGAUAAACAAACGGCAACUUAAAGAGCCAUGGUGAUUUGGUUGUGGCUGUUUCCCAGGAAGCUCUGAGAGAGGCAGAUCUGUGGGGCUCGUGAGGCCAGCUACCCUCUGCUUUAAAAGGCUUACCACAUAAACCUGAAUUAUGUCUAGAAACAAGUAAGACAAAAACAAAGAACAUUUCUGGUGGCUUGUGUGUGUAAAUGAAGAAUAAGUUGAAUUGCUUCUCUUGGUUUUAGUGCUAUAUCUGAUUGUGAAGGUAGGCUAUUCAAUAUGUGAUAAUUUAUAGGCUGAUUCAAAUAAGUGUAUCUCUCUGUAACUGGGCAAAAGGUAAUACAUAGAAUUCUCUGUUGUCAACUAUUUACAUUGACAGGGAUGCAUGUGGUGAGGCAUCUGGGCUUUCUAAGGAUUCCUGACAGGCUCCUCCCUUCUACAGCUGAGGUAUGCAUACUGACACCUCUCCUUGCCUCCCAGUUCACUGCCUUGUAGGAAAGGGGAGCACUCCAGAGUAGUGAGUGUGGCCCAGGGACAUCUGUGGGAAGUAGAAGAUCUGCCAGAGCAGCAGCACAUGGCACGCCCACAGAGUGGGCCGCAGAGGGGAGCUUCUCCAGGAGCUUAAGGAAGUCUCCUCUGCAGCGCUCAGCUGUGCGUUCUGCUAAUGGUUUGGGAGGCCACUAGCAUCUUCUUAUCAAUGCAGCACGUACAACAAGAGCCGGAGCACUAUUGCUAGAUACAGCAUUCUACUCAUGGGGAUUUCUCCCGAGGGGGAAAAAAAGCAGAAUUUGUUUUUGUUUUAAAGGCAUAUACUAUAUAGACAUUUCUCUGGUCCCCAAUUAAAAAACAAACAAACAAACAAACAAACAAACAAACAAACAAAAGCAAAACAAAACUGGAGAAGAGCUUAAGUUUUCAGACAGGUGAGUGUUUUAGCAUAUUAGAAUUAAUAAAAGGGAAUAACAUGCAGCCAUUAAUUGUGAUGAAAAUGGGUAAAGGGGAAAAUGGCUAAGUUCUUAUGUUUAAUUAGAUUACUCACAAUUAUUGAGGCAAUGAGAGACAACACACAUUUGAGAAUUAAUUCAGAGAAUGAAGGCAAUAGUAAAAGUGAUUUUACACUUACCUGAUUAGACUUCUCUCUCUGAUAUUGUUACAGUACCUUUUACCUUUCCUAAACAUUCUGUGGUGAUGAGUCAAUGCCUCUUUGAGCUCACCUUGUAAAGCCCUAUCACAUUCUCCAGGAGGCACUUGGGUCAGUCACCUGAGAGUGGUUCCCAUCACUGCUUACAAGGCUUCAGAGGGGAAGCUGUUCUGAGCACACUGUGGUGGCUGCUCCUCCUUUGUAAUGCUAUGCUUGUUUGCUGACCUAGUUCUCUAAUGAUCUAAGUAUGGUUUAUUCUGCCUUUCUAAGUUUGGAAGCCCUGGAUUCAGAUCUUCCCUUUUGGGUGAUAUUUAAAUGAAUAUCAAAUUCUAACAUUCUAACAGUAAGACAAAAUAAUAUGAGAGACUGAAGAUUUACCCUCUAACAAAAUAGAAAGUAGCCACAAGAAAGACUGUGAGCACAGAAAGCAGACUGUGGCGCCAGCAUGUGUCAGGAAGGCGUCUCUCCUACAAGUGUGUUUUAAGUCUUCAUCCCUACUAACUGAAACACAUCCCCUGACUCAGAAGCAGGGAAUCUUGCAUUUGUGCAA